CGUUANGGAAUUCUGGGCGUAAGCGCACGCAGGCGGUUUGUUAAGUCAGAUGUGAAAUCCCCGGGCUCAACCUGGGAACUGCAUUUGAAACUGGCAAGCUUGAGUCUUGUAGAGGGGGGUAGAAUUCCAGGUGUAGCGGUGAAAUGCGUAGAGAUCUGGAGGAAUACCGGUGGCGAAGGCGGCCCCCUGGACAAAGACUGACGCUCAGGUGCGAAAGCGUGGGGAGCAAACAGGAUUAGAUACCCUUGGUAGUCCA
rnacentral:rRNA from 1 species